GUCAUGCCAAUGGCACUGCCCGGUAGCUAAAUGCGGAAGAGAUAAGUGCUGAAAGCAUCUAAGCACGAAACUUGCCCCGAGAUGAGUUCUCCCUGAGACUUAGAGUCUCCUGAAGGAACGUUGAAGACGACGACGUUGAUAGGCCGGGUGUGUAAGCGCAGCGAUGCGUUGAGCUAACCGGUACUAAUGAACCGUGAGGCUUAACCUU
rnacentral:rRNA from 1 species